rnacentral:rRNA from 1 species
GAUGAACGCUAGCGGGAGGCUUAACACAUGCAAGUCGAGGGGCAGCACGAGGUAGCAAUACUUUGGUGGCGACCGGCGCACGGGUGAGUAACGCGUAUGCAACCUACCCUGUACAGGGGGAUAACCCGGAGAAAUUCGGACUAAUACCCCAUAAAGAUAUUUAGAGGCAUCUUUGAAUAUUUAAAGUUCCGGCGGUACGGGAUGGGCAUGCGUAACAUUAGCUAGUUGGUAAGGUAACGGCUUACCAAGGCAACGAUGUUUAGGGGUCCUGAGAGGGUGAUCCCCCACACUGGUACCGAGACACGGACCAGACUCCUACGGGAGGCAGCAGUGAGGAAUAUUGGUCAAUGGGCGCAAGCCUGAACCAGCCAUCCCGCGUGAAGGAAGAAUGCGCUAUGCGUUGUAAACUUCUUUUCCAGGGGAAUAAAAUUUUGUACGUGUACGGAAUUGAAGGUACCCUGGGAAUAAGCAUCGGCUAACUCCGUGCCAGCAGCCGCGGUUAAAA